rnacentral:rRNA from 1 species
UAAGUCCCGCAACGAGCGCAACCCUUGUCGCUAGUUACCAUCAUUAAGUUGGGGACUCUAGCGAGACUGCCUCUGCAAGGAGGAGGAAGGCGGGGAUGACGUCAAAUCAUCAUGCCCCCUUAUGACCUGGGCUACACACGUGCUACAAUGGACGGAUCAAAGGGAAGCGAAGCCGCGAGGUGGAGCGAAACCCAAAAACCCGUUCUCAGUUCGGACUGCAGUCUGCAACUCGACUGCACGAAGUUGGAAUCGCUAGUAAUCGCGAAUCAGAAUGUCGCGGUGAAUACGUUCUCGGGCCUUGUACACACCGCCCGUCACACCAUGAGAGUUGGUAACACCCGAAGCCGGUGGCUUAACCGCAAGGAGAGAGCUGUCUAAGGUGGGACUGAUGAUUAGGGUGAAGUCGUAACAAGGUAUCCCUACG